UUCUUUUCUAGAUUUUUUUUUUUUUUGCAGAAAUAAUACUCAACCAGACAAUAAAGUCUUGCAAAGCCUCAAACAUGAUGAUCACCAAGCCCCAGAACUCAAAAAAAAAUCUCAGCUUUGGGCCACCACCAUCUGCACAAUGAAGAAAUAACAUUUCCUGGUGACUUUCAGGAGACCUGGAGAACGCAGCUUUAAAUUGUGAGAAGACCUCAGUGGAAAUGUUUAAGGUUUUGCCUUGCCUGUCCUGAAGGAGGUCAAAACCCUUCAGGUCCACUCAAAAGGAGAAAAAAAAAAAAUCCAAAAGUUUACUCUAAAAUGGAAACAAAUGUCUCAAUGACUUGUGAAAGCACUCCUUGGGUAGGGGAAAAAUCUGAGGAACCCCCAGAAGUCCUCAUUUCCUUGCAUAAUGAAUAGAGAGUGAGGAACCACCACCAUGUCUCCCUCUGGAGAGGGAGAAAAGAGUAGGCAAGCAAGCUUCCUCCUCCAGCCAUCACCAACUGAGCUUCAAAAUGGAGACAACCAUAAUUUUAUAAACACUUCUCAUCUCAGCUUUGUCUCCUGGAAACCCGUGCUCUCCUCCAUUUUCUGGUGGAGUUACAAGACACGGUUUACCUGACUCAGUUCCCAGCUCUCAACCAAACUAGUCACUUCCUUCAAAAACCUGCAAGCAACCUCCAGAAACAAAACCAAAGCAAGCCAAACAGCCAAGACAGACACUCAGACGCAGCCCCGGGGGACCUAGGAGAAAGCCCCAACUGGUUAGAAGCUUCAAUGAAAAGAAAAUGAGGGUUCCUUGAGGAAUGGUGAACAGCCUGGAGAAUGAACAACUACACGAAAUUAAUUAAGCGCUCGCUCGCCCGCUCGCUCGCCCCCCCCCUCGCAGAAGGAGCAGCC